rnacentral:rRNA from 1 species
GACGUAGGGCGCGAGCGUUGUCCGGAUUUAUUGGGCGUAAAGAGCUCGUAGGCGGCUUGUUGCGUCAGCUGUGAAAACCCGCAGCUCAACUGUGGGCUUGCAGCUGAUACGGGCAGGCUUGAGUUCGGUAGGGGAGACUGGAAUUCCUGGUGUAGCGGUGAAAUGCGUAGAUAUCGAGAGGAACACCUGCGGCGAAGGCGGGUUGCUGGGCUGACACUGACGCUGAUGCGCGAAAGCCAGGGGAGCGAACGGG